rnacentral:ribozyme from 1 species
UGCCCAGCAACUCCUAUCCCUACCUCCACGUGAUACCGGCUGAAAAUUAUACGAGCAACCUUAAGGAAGACAUGGAAGGGAGGG